AGGAGGCGAGAGCUCGCGCGCUGGGGAGGGUGGGAAAACGGGCCUGCGUGGGGCGGGACCUACCGGAUGAUUGGCACCGAGUGCUGGGUUAGCCUCCGGACUCCUGCUGGGCUCUCUCGCCUCUGAGUGAAGGAGGUCCACGUGGCUCCUGAGCAUCUCUGGCUAGCCUGGUUGUCCCUACGCAGCAAGGUGAUGAGUCCCAUGGAGUGACGACCUUCUAUUCUUCAAGAUCUGACCUCUCACAUCCUGCCUCUCUUCCAUCAGACUGUUCAAACAAUGGACCGGAAGAAAUGCAGUUUCCCCAGGACUCUUGUUCUGGAAGAAGAGAAAGAUUAAUGCCUGGACCAGCCAGAGAGGAAACUUAUAUCCUGGAACUUUUAAACCACCGUGCAGAAAACACUCCAGUCCUCCACUUAAACUGUAACCUUGGGUCAGGACCCUGAAGAUGGACUUGGCAAGUUGCUGGCCCUCUCUGUCUCUCUUCCUAGUGCACUCAUAUUGAAUUACUCUCCCUCUUC